UACAGAGGUGCCAAGCGUUAGGCGGAAUCACUGGGCUUAAAGCGCGUGUAGGCGGGUCGUUAAGUGUCCGCGUGAAAUCCCACGGCUCAACCGUGGAACUGCCGGGCAUACUGGCGAUCUUGAGGCAUUCAGGGGCGAGUGGAACAAAUGGUGGAGCGGUGAAAUGCUUAGAUAUGACAUAGAACACCAAUUGCGAAGGCAGCUUACUACACAACUAUUGACUCUGAUGCACGAAAGCGUGGGGAGCAAACAGG
rnacentral:rRNA from 1 species